UACGUAGGGUGCAAGCGUUAAUCGGAAUUACUGGGCGUAAAGCGUGCGUAGACGGUCAUGUAAGUCGGGUGUGAAAGCCCCGGGCUCAAUCUGGGAAUUGCAUUCGAGACUGCAUGGCUAGGAUGCGGAAGAGGGAAGCGGAAUUUCCGGUGUAGCGGUGAAAUGCGUAGAUAUCGGAAGGAACACCAGUGGCGAAAGCGGCUUCCUGGUCCAGCAUCGACGGUUCAG
rnacentral:rRNA from 1 species